AUUGAACGCUGGCGGCAGGCCUAACACAUGCCAGUCGAACGGUAACAGGAAGCAGCUUGCUGCUUUGCUGACGAGUGGCGGACGGGUGAGUAAUGUCUGGGAAACUGCCCGAUGGAGGGGGAUAACUACUGGAAACGGUAGCUAAUACCGCAUAACGUCGCAAGACCAAAGAGGGGGACCUUAGGGCCUCUUGCCAUCGGAUGUGCCCAGAUGGGAUUAGCUAGUAGGUGGGGUAACGGCUCACCUAGGCGACGAUCCCUAGCUGGUCUGAGAGGAUGACCAGCCACACUGGAACUGAGACACGGUCCAGACUCCUACGGGAGGCAGCAGGGGGGAAUAUUGCACAAUGGGCGCAAGCCUGAUGCAGCCAUGCCGCGGGUAUGAAGAAGGCAUUCGGGUUGUAAAGUACUUUCAGCGGGGAGGAAGGGAGUAAAGUUAAUACCUUUGCUCAUUGACGUUACCCGCAGAAGAAGCACCGGCUAACUCCGU
rnacentral:rRNA from 1 species